UUAUGGGUUUUGGCUGUUUUCGAUGGCGAUGAAAGUGGUGACAAUAAAAGAAAGACUAAAACCAGCGGAAGAUCUUAAGGCCUCCGAUGCUUCUGGAGUUCAUCAGCUUCGGUUCUUUUAUCACCAAUUUAUGCUCCUCAGAUGGUCAGGCAUACGGCAACCAAAAACCUUUCACCAACAUGAAGAAACCACCAUAGCCAUUUGUAGUUGAUGUAGUCAUUGAGAUUCCAUUCAACCUACAUCGUAUUCUCUUCCAGGUUUCUUUCUUGAACAUCUUUUUUAUCUUUAUGAUGACUUGCAAGCACAUCCACUCUGUUCAUGUGUUGAAGAACUAUGUUUUAAGUAACUUUUGUUUAAAGGGAACUGUUCUUCUAAGAUUGGAACAGAUGCCAAGAAAGCUAACAAAACCAAUGAGAUACUCCAUCUAUCCAUUUGCUGCCGUCAGCUUUAUUUUAUGUUAGAAGAGCAAGGAAUGCUUUUAUAGAUCCAUUAUUACCUCGAUUAAAUCCCAAAAGCAGUAAUGGAGGCCCUGUAAUUCCCUUUGAAGUUGAGGUUGGUGAAUGAUGAUUGACUGAUUUCUCCAUGAAUAGUUUCAAGUUCACAAGUUUGAACUUGAUAUUUCAGGUAGUUGCAGCUGCCCUGCAUUCGCGAAUACAAAGGUUUGAGUAUAUGUAAUUAUCUUUCAGUUUACAGCAAGAUCACAUUUAUAAAUUAUAGGGUUGAUGAGAAGCUUUUCCUUUCUGUAUGUAUGUGUGUAUUAUCCUUGCUUUGAAGAAGUGAAGGAGAGUGUUUACUAAAUAUUGCUAUUUAGCUAAAACUAGUAAAUAGCGAUGUAGUUUCAGUUU